rnacentral:rRNA from 1 species
AGUGAACGCUGGCGGUAGGCCUAACACAUGCAAGUCGAACGGCAGCACAGUAAGAGCUUGCUCUUACGGGUGGCGAGUGGCGGACGGGUGAGGAAUACAUCGGAAUCUACUUUUUCGUGGGGGAUAACGUAGGGAAACUUACGCUAAUACCGCAUACGACCUACGGGUGAAAGCAGGGGAUCUUCGGACCUUGCGCGAUUGAAUGAGCCGAUGUCGGAUUAGCUAGUUGGCGGGGUAAAGGCCCACCAAGGCGACGAUCCGUAGCUGGUCUGAGAGGAUGAUCAGCCACACUGGAACUGAGACACGGUCCAGACUCCUACGGGAGGCAGCAGUGGGGAAUAUUGGACAAUGGGCGCAAGCCUGAUCCGGCCAUACCGCGUGGGUGAAGAAGGCCUUCGGGUUGUAAAGCCCUUUUGUUGGGAAAGAAAUGCAGCAGGUUAAUACCCCGCUGCUCUGACGGUACCCAAAGAAUAAGCACCGGCUAACUUCGUG